AGAGUUUGAUCAUGGCUCAGAUUGAACGCUGGCGGCAGGCCUAACACAUGCAAGUCGAGCGGUAGCACAGAGAGCUUGCUCUCGGGUGACGAGCGGCGGACGGGUGAGUAAUGUCUGGGAAACUGCCUGAUGGAGGGGGAUAACUACUGGAAACGGUAGCUAAUACCGCAUAAUGUCGCAAGACCAAAGUGGGGGACCUUCGGGCCUCAUGCCAUCAGAUGUGCCCAGAUGGGAUUAGCUAGUAGGUGGGGUAAUGGCUCACCUAGGCGACGAUCCCUAGCUGGUCUGAGAGGAUGACCAGCCACACUGGAACUGAGACACGGUCCAGACUCCUACGGGAGGCAGCAGUGGGGAAUAUUGCACAAUGGGCGCAAGCCUGAUGCAGCCAUGCCGCGUGUGUGAAGAAGGCCUUCGGGUUGUAAAGCACUUUCAGCGGGGAGGAAGGCGAUAAGGUUAAUAACCUUGUCGAUUGACGUUACCCGCAGAAGAAGCACCGGCUAACUCCGUGCCAGCAGCCGCGGUAAUACGGAGGGUGCAAGCGUUAAUCGGAAUUACUGGGCGUAAAGCGCACGCAGGCGGUCUGUCAAGUCGGAUGUGAAAUCCCCGGGCUCAACCUGGGAACUGCAUUCGAAACUGGCAGGCUAGAGUCUUGUAGAGGGGGGUAGAAUUCCAGGUGUAGCGGUGAAAUGCGUAGAGAUCUGGAGGAAUACCGGUGGCGAAGGCGGCCCCCUGGACAAAGACUGACGCUCAGGUGCGAAAGCGUGGGGAGCAAACAGGAUUAGAUACCCUGGUAGUCCACGCCGUAAACGAUGUCGAUUUGGAGGUUGUGCCCUUGAGGCGUGGCUUCCGGAGCUAACGCGUUAAAUCGACCGCCUGGGGAGUACGGCCGCAAGGUUAAAACUCAAAUGAAUUGACGGGGGCCCGCACAAGCGGUGGAGCAUGUGGUUUAAUUCGAUGCAACGCGAAGAACCUUACCUGGUCUUGACAUCCACAGAACUUAGCAGAGAUGCUUUGGUGCCUUCGGGAACUGUGAGACAGGUGCUGCAUGGCUGUCGUCAGCUCGUGUUGUGAAAUGUUGGGUUAAGUCCCGCAACGAGCGCAACCCUUAUCCUUUGUUGCCAGCGGUCCGGCCGGGAACUCAAAGGAGACUGCCAGUGAUAAACUGGAGGAAGGUGGGGAUGACGUCAAGUCAUCAUGGCCCUUACGACCAGGGCUACACACGUGCUACAAUGGCAUAUACAAAGAGAAGCGACCUCGCGAGAGCAAGCGGACCUCAUAAAGUAUGUCGUAGUCCGGAUUGGAGUCUGCAACUCGACUCCAUGAAGUCGGAAUCGCUAGUAAUCGUAGAUCAGAAUGCUACGGUGAAUACGUUCCCGGGCCUUGUACACACCGCCCGUCACACCAUGGGAGUGGGUUGCAAAAGAAGUAGGUAGCUUAACCUUCGGGAGGGCGCUUACCACUUUGUGAUUCAUGACUGGGGUGAAGUCGUAACAAGGUAACCGUAGGGGAACCUGCGGUUGGAUCACCU
rnacentral:rRNA from 2 species